rnacentral:misc_RNA from 1 species
GUCCGGUUCCCAUAAACCUGGCACCGAAGUCAAGAUUGGUGUUCGUGGGAAAUCCUACGAUGGGGUUGUGACGAAGAUGCCGUUCGUUCCUACCAAAUACUAUAAGCCGACAUAGUCCUUCUGCAUCUCCGAUUCUGUUCACAGUUAUUGACGAGUUAUGAAUGCUGUAAUUUGACGUUACUUCUGUAUGAGAAUUCCAAGUUGAAUCUGGAAGCACUUGUUCUUCCCCGGUUUCCAUUUUUUCAUGGCAUUUAAUUGUUUU